CCUACGGGGGGCAGCAGUGAGGAAUAUUGGUCAAUGGGCGUAAGCCUGAACCAGCCAAGUCGCGUGAGGGAUGAAGGUUCUAUGGAUCGUAAACCUCUUUUAUAAGGGAAUAAAGUGCGGGACGUGUCCCGUUUUGCAUGUACCUUAUGACUAAGGAUCGGCUAACUCCGUGCCAGCAGCCGCGGUACUACGGAGGAUCCGAGAGUUAUCCGGAUUUAUUGGGUUUAAAGGGUGCGUAGGCGGCCUUUUAAGUCAGCGGUGAAAGUUUGGGGCUCAACCCUAGGAUUGCCGUUGAAACUGGUAGGCUUGAGUAUGUUUGAGGCAUGCGGAAUGCGUGGUGUAGCGGUGAAAUGCUUAGAUAUCACGCAGAACCCCGAUUGCGAAGGCAGCAUGCCAAGCCAUGACUGACGCUGAUGCACGAAAGCGUGGGGAUCAAACAGGAUUAGAUACCCCAGUAGUC
rnacentral:rRNA from 1 species